GGCUUUUGUCAAGGAACUGGAACAUGUGAUUCCAGAGUACCAGGAAAUGGACGACGCAGAUGUGCUGCCAGCCGGUUCCUCAGGGGUGCUGCACGUACCACUGCCUUGUUCCUCUGUAGUUCUUAUGAACAUUUUUGUGGAUGGUGGUAAGGGAAGCGGAGAUACGUCACUUCAACGGUGGUCUCACUUCAAGCUCACAGACAAACCUUGUUAGCAUUUGAGGAACCACAGAUGUCUAACCACAGAUGCACUAACCAAAAUGCCCAAAUGGAUCGAUGGGAGGAGGGG